rnacentral:rRNA from 1 species
GUCCAUGCCGUAAACGAUGCGUGCUAAGUGUUAGGGGGUUUCCGCCCCUUAGUGCUGCAGCUAACGCAUUAAGCACUCCACCUGGGGAGUACGACCGCAAGGUUGAAACUCAAAGGAAUUGACGGGGGCCCGCACAAGCGGUGGAGCAUGUGGUUUAAUUCGAAGCAACGCGAAGAACCUUACCAGGUCUUGACAUCCCGAUGACCGCUCUAGAGAUAGAGUUUUCCCUUCGGGGACAUUGGUGACAGGUGGUGCAUGGUUGUCGU